ensembl:lncRNA
CUUAAGCUGCUUUCUGAGGAGUGCUGUAUAGCCAGAGAUUCCUCUUCACCAGUUGGCUGAGUUUAACUCUUCUUUCAGUAUUUAACUACUGGUCUACCUGUAAAGUAUGAUGUCCUGCAUAGGAUUCCACAGGUGGCAAAUGAGAAAUUAAGGGAGAAGAUUGAUGACAAGUCCAUUCCUCUUAGUUAUGAAAGACAAAAAGGAAGUCAUGGUGCAGAGUGGGAAAAGCUGUGUUUGGACCUAAUCUUGUCAAAUGGGAGCAGGAGAGGAAGGAUCCUUUUAAUGAAGACCUCCUGGCUGGGUAUUUCAGGCUACAGUCUUGCUCUUCUCCUUAUAGAGGGAUACCUCCUGCUAGUGCUUAAAAAUGUUGCAGUGUGGAUGGAUAGGUGCACUUUGAGAUGGAUGCAUAAGAAAAACAAGAAACUUAUUAACACAAAACCAUUUUAGGGCCUGAUUAAUCCAGAAAGAUUGAAGUAAGGGGAGGAUGGUGAAGGGAUUAAUCAAUUUCAGUGAAUAAAAAUGCAAGACAAUAUUGCUGAAGUUGAUAAAGAUGGGUCUAUAUUUAAAGAGAUCAGGAUUCGCAACACGUUUCGUGACUUAUUAUGCAGAGAAAAUUAUUACUACCCAUUAAAGAAUUAGCUUUCACAUAAAAUGAAGAAGUUGAUUAGUGCACCUCAGAGUGG